AAUCAACGCUGGCGGCGUGCCUCAGACAUGCAAGUCGAACGAUUAAAGCUCUCUUCGGAGAGUGUAUAGAGUGGCGCACGGGUGAGUAACACGUAAGUAAUCUACCCUCGAGUGGGGAAUAACGUCCGGAAACGGACGCUAAUACCGCAUAAUGCAGCGGCACCGCAAGGUGACAGUUGUUAAAGAUUUAUCGCUUGAGGAGGAGCUUGCGGCAGAUUAGCUAGUUGGUAAGGUAAUGGCUUACCAAGGCUACGAUCUGUAACCGGUCUAAGAGGGACGGUCGGUCACACUGACACUGAAUAACGGGUCAGACUCCUAC
rnacentral:rRNA from 1 species